rnacentral:misc_RNA from 1 species
UUCGAGCGUCAUUACAACCCUCAAGCUCAGCUUGGUGUUGGGCUCGCCCCUCGUGGGCCUGCCUCAAAAGCAGUGGCGGCUACGUCCGGUCUCAAGCGCAGUAAUACUCGCCGCUUGUUAGGCUCGGUCGGCGGCCUGCUAACAACCCCCACUUUUACAAGGUUGACCUCGGAUCAGGUAGGGAUACCCGCUGAACUUAA